GCCACGCAAAUAUUUUUCAGAUUCGCUGAACCAAAAUCUGCAGAGCCUUGUGGUGAUUCCUGCGGCGAUGGAUCUGUUCGUGAUGGUCGUAUUGGUGAUGUUGUUGGUGUUGGUGAUGGUGGCGGUGAAAUCGGAACGGCCGAGUUGGUGAUUGUCAACGCCGCUUUGCUCAACAUCAGCAAAGCGGAGAACGGAGUGCAGAGAGACAGCAGAGUGUCCAGGUGCAGGAACGGGGCUGUGACGGUGGCCGGGAGGUUGGGAGGACUGACGGCCAUGCUCGCUCUACUGCUACCCUUGCUUCAUGCCUGAGACACACACAGACACACACACAGACACACACACACAGAGACACAGACACACACACACAGACACACACAC